rnacentral:rRNA from 1 species
AUACCAGUUGAUCCUGCUGGACCCCGCUGCUAUCUGGCUGAGGCUUAGCUAUGCAAGCCGAACGUCCCGAGAUGGCGAGGCGUGACGAACGGCUCAGUAGCACGUUGUCAACCUACCCUGAGGAGGCGGAUAACCACGGGAAACUGUGCCUAAUCCGCCAUAAGCGAGGACUCCUGGAACGGUUCCCCGCCCAAAAGGGAGCAGACCAUGCUCUGCCCUCCGCCCCAGGAUGGGACUGCGGCCGAUUAGGUAGUAGGUGGUAUAGAGGACCACCCAGCCCAUAAUCGGUACGGGCCAUGAGAGUGGGAGCCCGGAGAUGGGUACUGAGAUAAGGACCCAGGUCUUACGGGACAUAGCAAGCGCGGAACCUCCCCAAUAUGCGAAAGCAUGAGGGGGUUAGCCAGAGUGCCAUCGUAAAAGAUGGCUGUGGUUAAGUGUACAAAGCUUGACUUAGAAAGAGGAGGGCAAGACUGGUGCCAGCCGCCGCGGUAAAACCAGCUCCUCGAGUGGCGGGGCAGAUUAUUUGGCCUAAAGCGUCCGUAGCCGGACCCGCAAGUCCCCGGUCAAAUCUGGCGUCCCAAGCGUCAGGCCGCCGCGGAAACUACGGGUCUUGGGACCGAGAGAGGCCGAAGGUACUGUAGGGGUAGGGGUGAAAUCCGCUGAUCCCUGCAGGACCACCGGUGGCGAAGGCGUUCGGCUGGAACGGGUCCGACGGUGAGGGACGAAGGCUAGGGGAGCGAACCGGAUUAGAUACCCGGGUAGUCCUAGCUGUAAACGAUGCGGGCCAGGUGUUGGCAUUACUGCGAGUGAUGCCAGUGCCGAAGGGAAGCCGUUAAGCCCGUCAUCUGGGGAGUACGGCCGCAAGGCUGAAACUUAAAGGAAUUGGCGGGGGAGCACCACAACGGGUGGAGCUUGCGGUUCAAUUGGAUUCAACGCCGGAAAACUCACCGGGGGAGACAGCAAGAUGAAGGUCAGGCUGAAGACCUUACCGGAUUAGCUGAGAGGUGGCGCAUGGCCGUCGGCAGUUCGUGUCGUGAAACAUCCUGUUAAGUCAGGCAACGGGCGAGACCCGCGCUCACAGUUGCCAGCAUCUCCGCAAGGAGGAUGGGUACUCUGCGAGGACUGCUACCGCUAAGGUGGAGGAAGGAGUGGGCUACGGCAGGUCAGUAUGCCCCGAAUCCCCCGGGCCACACGCGAGCUGCAAUUGCAGGGACAAUGAGUUCCAACCUUGAAAAAGGGAGGCAAUCCCUAAACCCUGCCUCAGUUGGGAUCGAGGGCUGCAACUCGCCCUCGUGAACCAGGAAUCCGUAGUAAUCGCACCUCAAAAUGGUGCGGUGAAUAUGUCCCUGCUCCUUGCACACACCGCCCGUCAAGCCAAUUGAGUAGAACUUCAUCGAGGCUUGUGAUGAGCACGUCGAGU